rnacentral:rRNA from 1 species
UACGAACGCUGGCGGCGUGCUUAACGCAUGCAAGUCGAACGGAAAGGCCCUGCUUUUGUGGGGUGCUCGAGUGGCGAACGGGUGAGUAACACGUGAGUAACCUGCCCUUGACUUUGGGAUAACUUCAGGAAACUGGGGCUAAUACCGGAUAGGAGCUCCUGCUGCAUGGUGGGGGUUGGAAAGUUUCGGCGGUUGGGGAUGGACUCGCGGCUUAUCAGCUUGUUGGUGGGGUAGUGGCUUACCAAGGCUUUGACGGGUAGCCGGCCUGAGAGGGUGACCGGCCACAUUGGGACUGAGAUACGGCCCAGACUCCUACGGGAGGCAGCAGUGGGGAAUAUUGCACAAUGGGCGGAAGCCUGAUGCAGCAACGCCGCGUGCGGGAUGACGGCCUUCGGGUUGUAAACCGCUUUCGCCUGUGGCGAAGCGUGAGUGACGGUAAUGGGUAAAGAAGCACCGGCUAACUACGUG